rnacentral:rRNA from 1 species
CGCGUAGGCGGGUUAUUAAGUCAGAUGUGAAAACUCCGGGCUCAACUUGGAGACUGCAUUUGAAACUGGUAAUCUUGAGGUCAGGAGAGGAAAGUGGAAUUCCUAGUGUAGCGGUGAAAUGCGUAGAUAUUAGGAGGAACACCAGUGGCGAAGGCGACUUUCUGGACUGUACCUGACGCUGAGGCGCGAAAGCGUGGGGGAGCAAACG